GAUAGCAUUUAGCCUUGAAACGGCCAGAGAAAGCGCUCCGCUAAACUCGCAGGCUAAGACCCAUUGCGUUUGUGUUUGAGGCUUUGCACCAUUGCGGCAGGGUGAUACCAGGGGCACGCAGAUCAACAUUAGUGGGACAAGCUGCAAAUGUUAGCGAGUGCCCUGGAAACAGGCCUCACAGACGCCGAUGGACGGCGGCUCUGAGAAAAGAUACUAGCGGGAUGUGAAAAGUUGAAUCGGAGGAGGCCUGGGGAACUUCAGCCGGGCAAGGUGGUGCACGCCUGUGACCCCAGCACUCUGAGAGGUUGAGGCAGGAUUGCAAAUUUCAGCCCAUCGUGGGCAAUUUAGCACUUGAUGAGACUGUCGCAAAAACCGGGGCGGGGAGGUGAGAUUGGGGAUGUCCUGGGUUCGAUCCUCAGUACCAACAACAACAAGAAAAAAUCGCGUCUCAGAGUGAGGAGGCGGACCGAGGAGGCGCCUGCAGCAAGGGCUGCGUCAACAGACUCAGGACCUGGGCCUCAGCAGUGUCAAGCAGACUGGAAGGGCUGGACAGGCAUGCGAUGCUGGGACCAGCGACCCACCCGAUAGCACCAGCGGUCGCCUGCCCGAGGCCCUGUGCCGGCUUGGUCAGCCCCCAAGGCUGGCUCGGCACCCCCACGCACACACUCGGUGCGCUUUUGCAGAGACGGUGGCUCCAGCGUGGGCUCCGCCCCCGGCGCACGAAGGGACUGGGACCCCUUCCUCCGCCCCGC